GGUAGAGAAUACCAAGGCGCUUGAGAGAACUCGGGUGAAGGAACUAGGCAAAAUGGCACCGUAACUUCGGGAGAAGGUGCGCCGGUGAGGGUGAAGGACUUGCUCCGUAAGCUCAUGCCGGUCGAAGAUACCAGGCCGCUGCGACUGUUUAUUAAAAACACAGCACUCUGCAAACACGAAAGUGGACGUAUAGGGUGUGACGCCUGCCCGGUGCCGGAAGGUUAAUUGAUGGGGUUAGCGCAAGCGAAGCUCUUGAUCGAAGCCCCGGUAAACGGCGGCCGUAACAAUAACGGUCCUAAGGUAGCGAAAUUCCUUGUCGGGUAAGUUCCGACCUGCACGAAUGGCGUAACGAUGGCGGCGCUGUCUCCACCCGAGACUCAGUGAAAUUGAAAUCGCUGUGAAGAUGCAGUGUAUCCGCGGCUAGACGGAAAGACCCCGUGAACCUUUACUAUAGCUUUGCACUGGACUUUGAAUUUGCUUGUGUAGGAUAGGUGGGAGGCUUUGAAGUGGGGACGCCAGUUCUCAUGGAGCCAUCCUUGAAAUACCACCCUGGCAACUUUGAGGUUCUAACUCAGGUCCGUUAUCCGGAUCGAGGACAGUGUAUGGUGGGUAGUUUGACUGGGGCGGUCUCCUCCCAAAGAGUAACGGAGGAGUACGAAGGUGCGCUCAGACCGGUCGGAAAUCGGUCGUAGAGUAUAAAGGCAAAAGCGCGCUUGACUGCGAGACAAACACGUCGAGCAGGUACGAAAGUAGGUCUUAGUGAUCCGGUGGUUCUGUAUGGAAGGGCCAUCGCUCAACGGAUAAAAGGUACUCCGGGGAUAACAGGCUGAUACCGCCCAAGAGUUCAUAUCGACGGCGGUGUUUGGCACCUCGAUGUCGGCUCAUCACAUCCUGGGGCUGAAGCCGGUCCCAAGGGUAUGGCUGUUCGCCAUUUAAAGUGGUACGCGAGCUGGGUUUAGAACGUCGUGAGACAGUUCGGUCCCUAUCU
rnacentral:rRNA from 1 species